rnacentral:rRNA from 1 species
GGUCGGGAUGCCGCAGAACUUGUUCUCGUGGCACGCGUCCGCACGCUGCACUUUGUUGCCCGGUGUCGUCGGCGUGCACUUCUCCCCUAGUAGGACGUCGCGACCCGUUGGGUGUCGGUCUACGGCCCGGGUGGGUGCCUGUCUCGUGUGUGCUUCACGGCAUCACUGCGGGGCAGACCCCCGGCUGCCCGACCGUCUGCCCGGCGGUACUCGCAAGGUAUCUGGCCGCAAGUAUUCGAACUGCGUCCGGCCCGUCGCAAGCGAGGCAAGUGCUUCCCGAAUGCACGGAUCUAAUCCCGUCAUCGGGCCUUGCCAGCUGUUGGUUGACGGUGUCCUAGGACUGGCUAAACUAAUUAUGAUACCGGUCAGCGACGCUACUGCUUUGGGUACUUUCAGGACCCGUCUUGAAACACGGACCAAGGAGUCUAACAUGUGCGCGAGUCAUUGGGAGCUAUUAUGCCUAAAGGCGCAAUGAAAGUGAAGGUCGGCCUCGCGCCGACCGAGGGAGGA